rnacentral:rRNA from 1 species
CCUACGGGAGGCAGCAGUGGGGAAUUUUGGACAAUGGGCGAAAGCCUGAUCCAGCAAUGCCGCGUGAGUGAAGAAGGCCUUCGGGUUGUAAAGCUCUUUUGUCAGGGAAGAAACGGUGGGAGCUAAUAUCUCUUGCUAAUGACGGUACCUGAAGAAUAAGCACCGGCUAACUACGUGCCAGCAGCCGCGGUAAUACGUAGGGUGCAAGCGUUAAUCGGAAUUACUGGGCGUAAAGCGUGCGCAGGCGGUUUUGUAAGUCUGAUGUGAAAUCCCCGGGCUCAACCUGGGAAUUGCAUUGGAGACUGCAAGGCUAGAAUCUGGCAGAGGGGGGUAGAAUUCCACGUGUAGCAGUGAAAUGCGUAGAUAUGUGGAGGAACACCGAUGGCGAAGGCAGCCCCCUGGGUCAAGAUUGACGCCCAUGCACGAAAGCGUGGGGAGCAAACAGGAUUAGAUACCCUGGUAGUCCACGCCCUAAACGAUGUCUACUAGUUGUCGGGUCUUAAUUGACUUGGUAACGCAGCUAACGCGUGAAGUAGACCGCCUGGGGAGUACGGUCGCAAGAUUAAAACCUCAAAUGAAAUUGA